rnacentral:rRNA from 2 species
AGAGUUUGAUCAUGGCUCAGAUUGAACGCUGGCGGCAGGCUUAACACAUGCAAGUCGAGCGGGGGAAGGUAGCUUGCUACUGGACCUAGCGGCGGACGGGUGAGUAAUGCUUAGGAAUCUGCCUAUUAGUGGGGGACAACAUCUCGAAAGGGAUGCUAAUACCGCAUACGUCCUACGGGAGAAAGCAGGGGAUCUUCGGACCUUGCGCUAAUAGAUGAGCCUAAGUCGGAUUAGCUAGUUGGUGGGGUAAAGGCCUACCAAGGCGACGAUCUGUAGCGGGUCUGAGAGGAUGAUCCGCCACACUGGGACUGAGACACGGCCCAGACUCCUACGGGAGGCAGCAGUGGGGAAUAUUGGACAAUGGGGGGAACCCUGAUCCAGCCAUGCCGCGUGUGUGAAGAAGGCCUUAUGGUUGUAAAGCACUUUAAGCGAGGAGGAGGCUACUUUAGUUAAUACCUAGAGAUAGUGGACGUUACUCGCAGAAUAAGCACCGGCUAACUCUGUGCCAGCAGCCGCGGUAAUACAGAGGGUGCGAGCGUUAAUCGGAUUUACUGGGCGUAAAGCGUGCGUAGGCGGCUUAUUAAGUCGGAUGUGAAAUCCCCGAGCUUAACUUGGGAAUUGCAUUCGAUACUGGUGAGCUAGAGUAUGGGAGAGGAUGGUAGAAUUCCAGGUGUAGCGGUGAAAUGCGUAGAGAUCUGGAGGAAUACCGAUGGCGAAGGCAGCCAUCUGGCCUAAUACUGACGCUGAGGUACGAAAGCAUGGGGAGCAAACAGGAUUAGAUACCCUGGUAGUCCAUGCCGUAAACGAUGUCUACUAGCCGUUGGGGCCUUUGAGGCUUUAGUGGCGCAGCUAACGCGAUAAGUAGACCGCCUGGGGAGUACGGUCGCAAGACUAAAACUCAAAUGAAUUGACGGGGGCCCGCACAAGCGGUGGAGCAUGUGGUUUAAUUCGAUGCAACGCGAAGAACCUUACCUGGCCUUGACAUACUAGAAACUUUCCAGAGAUGGAUUGGUGCCUUCGGGAAUCUAGAUACAGGUGCUGCAUGGCUGUCGUCAGCUCGUGUCGUGAGAUGUUGGGUUAAGUCCCGCAACGAGCGCAACCCUUUUCCUUACUUGCCAGCAUUUC